rnacentral:rRNA from 1 species
UACGGAGGGGGCUAGCGUUGUUCGGAAUUACUGGGCGUAAAGCGCACGUAGGCGGACUGGAAAGUCAGGGGUGAAAUCCCGGGGCUCAACCCCGGAACUGCCUUUGAAACUCCCAGUCUUGAGGUCGAGAGAGGUGAGUGGAAUUCCGAGUGUAGAGGUGAAAUUCGUAGAUAUUCGGAGGAACACCAGUGGCGAAGGCGGCUCACUGGCUCGAUACUGACGCUGAGGUGCGAAAGCGUGGGGAG